CACAAAGUACUACUGAAACUUUUUUAACAUCAGUUUCUACCAAUACGAGUUCUACAACUCCAUCAAUGGUUGCAAAUGAAACUACAUCUUUAUCUACUGCAUCAACUACUACUAAGGAUCCUAUUUUGUCUUUAUAUUCCGAUGAAGAAACUACUGCUUUUGAGCGGAAUUGUACUAGAGGAGAAAAUCGCUCGACUACAAUUUUUACCACAAUAACUCAGCCAAAAUGUAUCACAAACUCAGAUGUUAGUUGUGCAAAUACAACUCAGGAACAAGUUAAUGAAGAUUUAGUAAAAGGCCGUGUAACAGAAUCAGAUAAUUUACAAGGUAUAGAAAAUCAUAAUAAUCAUACAUAAUGUAAAUAAUAUUUCAGAUACUUCUACACAAUUUGAUGUGCAAGAUCCAUUUUCAAAGAACGAAAGCAUAACUACGACCGAAGCCGAAAUUACAACAAUCCUUCAGCAUAAUAUAACGAGUUCAUUUGUAAAGGAAACAAAUUAUACAAAUCAGUCAAAUAUGAGUAAAGGGGAUAUUAAUAUGACAACUGAAGUGCAAAAUUUUGUAAAUGUAACUGAACCUUCUAUACGGUAUAAUGUGACUAAACUUUGUAUGAAUACUUAUCCCAAAGAAUGCAACAGGCCCUUGACGUGGGAAACUACAUUGGAAGGAGAGAGCAGAGAUUUUUUUCAAAUACUUAAAUCAAAAUUCGGCAGAAGAGCCAGAUGGUUGAGAGACACCACUCAAUGGCCAAGGCGUAGUAACUUUUUAAUUAAUGAAAAAAAUAAUGCAUUUAUUUUUGGCGAUCACAAUGAAACUUAAAUAUUCUUAAUUUGUUUUUAGAGCUUCUGAUAGAGCUUUGUACAAAUUCAUUGUUUUUUAUUCAAUGUUAGAGUAUCAGUUGGAAUUGAAAAUAACACAUAAUGAUAAUGAUUUAAAACUAAAUGUACACCAUGUGAUAAAUAGUUUCUUUUUACU